rnacentral:lncRNA from 1 species
ACUAUGCACCUAUUAACUCAUCAGAUCUGCAUCUCUAGAUUCAUCUCCUCUAUGCCAGGUAUUAUACCAGUCAACACUUUAUGUAUUUCAUCCUCAUGACAACUCCACAUGAUCAGAUCAAGUGCUCAGUUGGUUCUUCCUCCCUGUGUCCCCCAAACCAUCCAGGAGCAGGGGCUUGAAAGAUUUACAACACUUUACACUACUUCAACAGCUAUUUUAGUCCUUAGAUUUUAUUGCCCCAACCAUGGUCUCCUUGGGAACAGACUGAAUCUGGAUCCAGAAGUGGCUGCUGAGGGAGAAGGUAGACAAGGUAGACCAAGAGCAACUAAGUUACGAAAGCAUUUCAAGGAUGGAGUGAUCAACUGGACCAAAUGACACUGAGAGAUUAAGAAAAGAUGUAAUUCACAUUGGAUUGGUGAAAAAAAUGCAACAGGAAUUCAGCAC